ACGGGAGGCAGCAGUGAGGAAUAUUGGUCAAUGGGCGAGAGCCUGAACUAGCCAAGUAGCGUGCACGAAGACUGCCCUCUGGGUUGUAAAGUGCUUUAGUAUGGGAAUAAAGUGAGGGACGUGUCCCUUUUUGUAUGUACCAUAAGAAUAAGGACCGGCUAAUUCCGUGCCAGCAGCCGCGGUAAUACGGAAGGUCCAGGCGUUAUCCGGAUUUAUUGGGUUUAAAGGGAGCGUAGGCGGAUUAUCAAGUCAGUGGUAAAAGCGUGUGGCCCAACCAUACCUCGCCAUUGAAACUGUUAGUCUUGAGUGCACGCAGGGAUGCUGGAAUUCGUUGUGUAGCGGUGAAAUGCUUAGAUAUGACGAAGAACUCCGAUCGCGAAGGCAGGUGUCUGGAGUGCAACUGACGCUGAGGCUCGAAAGUGCGGGUAUCAAACAGGAUUAGAUACCCUGGUA
rnacentral:rRNA from 1 species